rnacentral:rRNA from 1 species
CCUACGGGUGGCAGCAGUGGGGAAUAUUGCACAAUGGGGGAAACCCUGAUGCAGCGACGCCGCGUGAGCGAUGAAGUAUUUCGGUAUGUAAAGCUCUAUCAGCAGGGAAGAAGAUGACGGUACCUGACUAAGAAGCCACGGCUAACUACGGGCCAGCAGCCGCGGGAAUACGUAGGGGGAAAGGGUUAUACGGAAUUACUGGGUGUAAAGGGAUCGUAGACGGGGAUGCAAGCCAGAUGUGAAAGCCCGGGGCGCAACCCCGGUACGGCAUUUGGAACUGUGGGGCUUGAGUGCCGGAGAGGCAGGGGGAAUUCCUAGUGUAGCGGUGAAAUGCGUAGAUAUUAGGAGGAACACCAGUGGCGAAGGCGGCCUGCUGGACGAUGACUGACGUUGAGGCUCGAAAGCGUGGGGAGCAAACGGGAUUAGAUACCCGUGUAGUC